rnacentral:rRNA from 1 species
CUCUGUGACUCCUACGGGAGGCAGCAUGGGGGAAUAUUGCACAAUGGGCGCAAGCCUGAUGCAGCAACGCCGUGUGAGUGAAGAAGGUUUUCGGAUCGUAAAACUCUGUCCUAAGGGAAGAAACAAAUGACGGUACCUUAGGAGGAAGCCCCGGCUAACUACGUGCCAGCAGCCGCGGUAAUACGUAGGGGGCAAGCGUUAUCCGGAAUCACUGGGCGUAAAGGGUGCGUAGGCGGCUUAGCAAGCCAGGGGUGAAAGGCAUUGGCUCAACCAAUGUAAGCCUUUGGAACUGUUAAGCUUGAGUGCAGGAGAGGUAAGUGGAAUUCCUAGUGUAGAGGUGAAAAUUCGUAGAUAUUAGGAGGAACACCAGUGGCGAAGGCGACUUACUGGACUGUAACUGACGCUGAUGCACGAAAGCGUGGGUAGCGAACAGGAUUAGAUACCCUGGUAG